GUGCCUUGGCGGCAUGCUUACACAUGCAGUCGCACGGGAUCCAUCAGGCUUUGCUUGGUGGUGAGAGUGGCGAACGGGUGAGUAAUGCGUGACCGACCUGCCCCAUACACCGGAAUAGCUCCUGGAAACGGGUGGUAAUGCCGGAUGCUCCGACUCCUCGCAUGGGGUGUCGGGAAAGAUUUCAUCGGUAUGGGAUGGGGUCGCGUCCUAUCAGGUAGUCGGCGGGGUAACGGCCCACCGAGCCUACGACGGGUAGCCGGCCUGAGAGGGCGACCGGCCACAUUGGGACUGAGAUACGGCCCAGACUCCUACGGGAGGCAGCAGUGGGGAAUAUUGCACAAUGGGCGCAAGCCUGAUGCAGCGACGCCGCGUGCGGGAUGACGGCCUUCGGGUUGUAAACCGCUUUUGAUCGGGAGCAAGCCUUCGGGUGAGUGUACCUUUCGAAUAAGCACCGGCUAACUACGUGCCAGCAGCCGCGGUAAUACGUAGGGUGCAAGCGUUAUCCGGAAUUAUUGGGCGUAAAGGGCUCGUAGGCGGUUCGUCGCGUCCGGUGUGAAAGUCCAUCGCUUAACGGUGGAUCUGCGCCGGGUACGGGCGGGCUGGAGUGCGGUAGGGGAGACUGGAAUUCCCGGUGUAACGGUGGAAUGUGUAGAUAUCGGGAAGAACACCAAUGGCGAAGGCAGGUCUCUGGGCCGUUACUGACGCUGAGGAGCGAAAGCGUGGGGAGCGAACAGGAUUAGAUACCCUGGUAGUCCACGCCGUAAACGGUGGAUGCUGGAUGUGGGGCCCGUUCCACGGGUUCCGUGUCGGAGCUAACGCGUUAAGCAUCCCGCCUGGGGAGUACGGCCGCAAGGCUAAAACUCAAAGAAAUUGACGGGGGCCCGCACAAGCGGCGGAGCAUGCGGAUUAAUUCGAUGCAACGCGAAGAACCUUACCUGGGCUUGACAUGUUCCCGACAGCCGUAGAGAUAUGGCCUCCCUUCGGGGCGGGUUCACAGGUGGUGCAUGGUCGUCGUCAGCUCGUGUCGUGAGAUGUUGGGUUAAGUCCCGCAACGAGCGCAACCCUCGCCCUGUGUUGCCAGCACGUCAUGGUGGGAACUCACGGGGGACCGCCGGGGUCAACUCGGAGGAAGGUGGGGAUGACGUCAGAUCAUCAUGCCCCUUACGUCCAGGGCUUCACGCAUGCUACAAUGGCCGGUACAACGGGAUGCGACACGGCGACGUGGAGCGGAUCCCUGAAAACCGGUCUCAGUUCGGAUUGGAGUCUGCAACCCGACUCCAUGAAGGCGGAGUCGCUAGUAAUCGCGGAUCAGCAACGCCGCGGUGAAUGCGUUCCCGGGCCUUGUACACACCGCCCGUCAAGUCAUGAAAGUGGGUAGCACCCGAAGCCGGUGGCCUAACCCUUUGUGGAUGGAGCCGUCUAAGUAGACUCGG
rnacentral:rRNA from 1 species